rnacentral:rRNA from 1 species
AUGCUUUACACAUGCAAGUCGAACGGCAGCACGGGGGCAACCCUGGUGGCGAGUGGCGAACGGGUGAGUAAUAUAUCGGAACGUACCCAGGAGUGGGGGAUAACGUAGCGAAAGUUACGCUAAUACCGCAUACGACCCAAGGGUGAAAGUGGGGGAUCGCAAGACCUCAUGCUCAUGGAGCGGCCGAUAUCUGAUUAGCUAGUUGGUGGGGUAAAGGCCUACCAAGGCAACGAUCAGUAGCUGGUCUGAGAGGACGACCAGCCACACUGGAACUGAGACACGGUCCAGACUCCUACGGGAGGCAGCAGUGGGGAAUUUUGGACAAUGGGGGCAACCCUGAUCCAGCAAUGCCGCGUGAGUGAAGAAGGCCUUCGGGUUGUAAAGCUCUUUUGUCAGGGAAGAAAAGGUCGCAGCUAAUAUCUGUGGCUCAUGACGGUACCUGAAGAAUAAGCACCGGCU